GCGGCCCUAGCGCCAUUUUGUGGGAGCCAAGCGGUAGCUGGGCUGGUCUUGGAUCCCUCGCUGCUUCGGUUUCCCUGUCGGGCUUCCCAGCAGCGGCCUAGCGGGAAAAUAAGAAAAGAUGUCUGAAUAUAUUCGGGUAACCGAAGAUGAGAAUGACGAGCCCAUUGAAAUACCAUCAGAAGACGAUGGGACAGUGCUGCUGUCCACGGUGACAGCCCAGUUUCCGGGAGCAUGUGGGCUGCGCUACAGGAACCCAGUGUCUCAAUGUAUGAGAGGUGUCCGGCUGGUGGAAGGAAUUCUGCAUGCCCCUGAUGCUGGCUGGGGAAAUCUGGUAUACGUUGUCAAUUAUCCCAAAGAUAACAAAAGAAAAAUGGAUGAGACAGAUGCUUCAUCAGCAGUGAAAGUGAAAAGAGCAGUCCAGAAAACCUCUGAUUUAAUAGUGUUGGGUCUCCCGUGGAAAACAACUGAACAGGAUCUAAAAGAAUAUUUUAGUACCUUUGGAGAAGUUCUUAUGGUUCAGGUCAAGAAAGAUAUUAAAACUGGUCAUUCAAAAGGGUUUGGCUUUGUUCGUUUUACGGAAUAUGAAACUCAGGUGAAAGUAAUGUCACAGCGACAUAUGAUAGAUGGACGAUGGUGUGACUGUAAACUUCCUAAUUCUAAGCAAAGCCCAGAUGAACCUUUGAGAAGCAGGAAGGUGUUUGUUGGGCGUUGUACGGAGGACAUGACUGCUGAUGAGCUGCGGCAGUUCUUUUGCCAGUAUGGAGAAGUGGUAGAUGUCUUCAUCCCCAAACCAUUCAGGGCUUUUGCCUUUGUUACCUUUGCAGAUGAUCAGGUUGCCCAGUCUCUUUGUGGAGAGGACUUGAUCAUUAAAGGAAUCAGCGUACAUAUAUCCAAUGCUGAACCUAAGCACAAUAGCAAUAGACAGUUAGAAAGAAGUGGAAGAUUUGGUGGUAAUCCAGGUGGCUUUGGGAAUCAGGGUGGAUUUGGUAACAGUAGAGGGGGUGGAGCUGGUUUGGGAAACAAUCAAGGUAGUAAUAUGGGUGGAGGGAUGAACUUUGGCGCUUUUAGUAUAAAUCCAGCCAUGAUGGCUGCAGCCCAGGCAGCCCUGCAGAGCAGCUGGGGUAUGAUGGGCAUGUUAGCCAGUCAGCAGAACCAGUCAGGUCCAUCAGGUAAUAACCAAAGCCAAGGCAACAUGCAGAGGGAGCCAAAUCAGGCCUUUGGUUCUGGAAAUAACUCUUACAGUGGUUCUAAUUCAGGUGCAGCAAUUGGUUGGGGAUCAGCAUCAAAUGCAGGGUCAGGCAGUGGUUUUAAUGGAGGCUUUGGCUCAAGCAUGGAUUCUAAAUCUUCCGGCUGGGGAAUGUAGACACAGAUUGUUAUGGGUGGUUGGUUGGUAUAGACUGGUGGGAAUUCAAAUUUUUCUAAACUCAUGGUAAGUAUAUUGUAAAAUACAUAUGUACUAAGAAUUUUCAAAAUUGGUUUGUCCAGUGUGGAGUAUAUUCAGCAGUAUUUUUGACAUUUUUCUUUAGAAAAAGAGGAAGAGCUAAAGGAAUUUUAUAAGUUUUGUUACAUAAAGGGUUGAAAUAUUGAGUGUUUGAAAGUGAACUGCUGUUUGCCUGAUUGGUAAACCAAGACACUACAAUUGAUAUCAAAAGGUUUCUCCUGUAAUAUUUUAUCCCUGGACUUGUCAAGUGAAUUCUUUGCGUGUUCAAAAUGGAAACCAUUGAUUAGAACUACAUUCUUUUCUCCUUGUUUUAAUUUGAACCCCACCAUAUGGAUUUUUUCCUUAGAAAAAUCUCCUUUUUGGAGAUCAUGGUGUCACAGUGUUUGGUUCUUUUGUUUUUGUUUCUGUUUUUUAACACUUGUCUCCCUUCAUAUAUAAAAGUACAAUAUGAAGCCUUCAUUUAAUCUCUGCAGUUCAUCUCAUUUCAAAUGUUUAUGGAAGAAGCACUUCAUUGAAAGUAGUGCUGUAAAUAUUCUGCCAUAGGAAUACUUCUAUCUACAUGCUUUCUCAUUCAAGAAUUCGUCAUCACACUGCACAGGCUGCGUCUUUGACGCCCUGAAUGCAAAGAAUUCAUAGCAGUUAAUUCCCCUUUUUUUGACCCUUUUGAGAUGGAACUUUCAUAAAGUUUCUUGGCAAUAGUUUAUUUUGCUUCAAAUAAACUUAUUUGAAAAGUUGUCUCAAGUCAAAUGGAUUCAUCACCUGUCAUGCAUUGACAUCUGAUACCCAGACUUAAUUGCUAUUUGUUCUUGCAUUGUCCAAAGUGAAAAGUUUUUUUUUCUUUUUAAAUCUAGUUUUUAAUAAGUCUGGGUGACCACACCUAAAAUGCACUUGCAAUAUUACUCAGCAGCAGUAACAUGGUAACACUUAAAAUGGUAUUCGGGGGACCUCCAAAGACUAAACUGACAAGCCUUCAAGGAUCCCAGGGGCAAGUGAGGCUGCUUUAACACAGCACAAUUCAAAGACCCAUUGAUAUUUCUUAGCUCCUCAGAAAAUGAGGUGAGUGAAAAUUAACUUUUAGAAACGAAUUUGUUUUGCUAAAAAAAUUGGUCUACACGACUGGGGAAAUUAUUUUAUAGGGCAGACAGGAAUUGUCUGAGCUGGUGCAGUGGGUGAUAUGCAUAGAAAGUGAAAGGAAAUAGCCUUUCAUUGCUUAUGUUUCCCUACUUGUAGAAUGGGGUAUUUAUUUACCAUGUAGUUCUGGGGAAGCAGGAACUAAGGUCACUGUCAUAAGAUUUGUAAAAUUACUUUCACCUUUGAACAUUUAAAUGUUUUAAAAAUCAGAAUGUUGCAGUUGUAGCCAGGAACCUUCAGGUUCAGAAAUUACUAUUUUUGGUCUUGUUGAUUCUUCCAAAUGCUAAGUUUUACUGUAUAUUGUUGACUAAGUAUGCUCAUUAAUGUAGCAGAUAUGUUUCCUGUUGUGGCAGAAUACUUGUUUAAAACUUACAAACGUUGUGUCAGCUAAGAUAUAGGUUUUUUAAAAAAUUAAUUUAAGGGCCGGCCCCGUGGCUUAGCGGUUAAGUGCGCAUGCUCCGCUGCUGGCGGCCCGGAUUCACAUCUGGGGCGCGCACCGACGCACCGCUUCUCCAGCCAUGCUGAGACCACGUCCCACAUACGGCAACUAGAAGGAUGUGCAGCUAUGACAUACAACUAUCUACUAGGGCUUUGGGGGAAAAAAUAAAUAAAUAAAAAUUAUAAAAAAAAACUAAUUUAAGCCAAAUAACACAAGGGUAAUGAAUAUAAUAUUACCUUGCUGAUUUUUUUUUUAAUCACUCUGCUUAACUAUAUCUUCAGAGCAAAUUCUGGUAAAAAAAAAAUUUUUGUGUACUAUUAAAGGGCAAAUUGCAUUAAUGUUUAAAAACUAGAUGUCAUUGAAAACAGUUGCUUAGGGAAAUAAUGAAGUUAUUAGCUUUGGGUUUUAAUAGCAUUUUUACAGAGAAGAAAAGUAACUCAGAAGAACUUGUGUUUAUAAAUGUAUAAAUGGUUCAAGAUAAUUUUAAAAAUCAUUUAGUUUUUUAUGCUUGCCUAGUUGUAAGGUCAAAAAUAAUCAAAUGACUGAUGCAGUCAGCACCUAACGCCCUCUCCGUAGGGAAAGGGGAUCAUGAGAACAUAUUAUCUGGAAAUAAUAACUUGGUCUAAGCCAAGUGCUGAAGUUAGAUUUCUGCCUCCCACAGCUAAAGCUCUGCUUAUUGUCUCCUACCCAGUUCUACUUUCCAUCAAUUACCAGUCUCUUGUAUAAAUGUAUCCAUUACCAGGCUCACAGAUGGGGAGUGAUUUUUCUCCUUUGGAGCUCGUCCAGAAUCCAUCAGCCUCACACACAUAUUUACCUGCAAAUCAUUGGAAAAGCAAAAAUGUUUAACUGCAUGUAUAAGGUGGUUGUCAUUUGCUUGAAUACCCCCUUGAAAAAUGUUGAUUCUUGAGUAUCAGUGGGAAAUAGAGGUGUCUGAAUAACCAUUUUACAUGAUUUCAUAAAUAGGAGGUCUCUGCAUUACCAUGUUUGCUUGCAAAGUGGAAACCUUUUAGAUGUGUAACUUGAAUAUGUAUCAAGAUCUCAAGUGCUUAAUGAUAAGGUUUUGACUUGUUAAAUUAAACCAUUUGGAAUAUA